rnacentral:lncRNA from 1 species
GGCCCCAGCCCGGCCCCCAGUAGGGAGAUGGCGUCCUACGUAGAUAACAGCUUCCGCCAGGCGGUGAUGAAGAACCCCCCUGAGAGGACCCCCCAGGAUCUGGAAAUAGUAUAUUCCUAUUUACAUGGUAUGGAAGCCUUGUCAAACUUGAGGGAGCAUCAACUUAGGUUAAUGUGUGAAACUGUGAGAUAUGAGAGACACGAAGCAAAUGAAGUUUUAUACUACCCCGAUGAUAUUGGGACCUGCUGGUAUAUCCUUCUUUCUGGUUCUGUGUUCAUCAAGGAAUCCAUGUUUCUUCCAAGAAGCAGCUUCUGGUUUGUGAGCUAAGAGCACAUCAUCUCUGUGAGAGAGCUCAGAGACUUUGUCACUCAUCAGGCCUAUCGUGUGCACUCAUGACCUACUCUUUGGCUCCUUUGAGGCUGCUCUUCCUUUCCGCAUUCCUGGCUGUGUUUGAAAAAAUAGAUUGUUGAAUAAAUGAAGUAAUAUAUUCUCCCUUGCUAAUAUGUGUUCUGUGCACAUUGCUUUUUCCGUUCAGCUUUUUCAAUAAAUACAUCUGAUGGAGAGUCUGCAGUUUCUCGUGUUCAUAUCUUUGUGACGCUUUGUGGAACUCGAGUCUUUUGUGAUUGAAAAGUUUCAUCAGGCUCUAGUGCAACUGACUCUCUGAAAAACUCUCAUGGAAAUAUUUUUAUAGAGCACAUUUUAGGAAAUGUAAACUUUUCAUCCCCAAAGUAAUAGUGUGCUAGUGCAACUUGAAGUGUGACUUCCUAGCCAUAAAGUUCUGUUGAAUGAAUGACUAAUUGGUAAGAGGAUUUGCACCCUAAAUCCUGGAGUGGGGAAGAUGGUACUAUAUUUAUAUAUAAAAUAAUUAACAGUUAUAUAGUUUAUUUAUGUGAACAUUAACACCUUUUGUUGCUAAAAUUU